UCGCGUAGUCAUUCGUGCUCGCCUAUAUGCCUUUCUUGGUGCCUACUUCCUCAGGGCUGUGUCUUCGUUCCGAUUGCCGUUCCUCCCGUUCCGGGCAUGACUGCCAUGUUUCGCAAGGUGCUGCAGUUGGCUGUGCGAUCAGGUUGUUGUUUGUGCUUUGUUUGACGUCAGAGCUUGGAGACCAUAGAUCUGGCAAGGCAACCACCCGGCAAGAUACCCUUUGGCAGUUCCAGUGAUUCCUGGAUCGAUAAGGUGAAAUCUUGAUCACUCUAUUUGUGCUCUUUUUCUUCCUCUAUAUCUUUUUUCUUUUAUCUUUUUAUUUCUAUCUACUAACCGUAUUAUGCAACUGCCACUCUCUGUUUGCAUUACUGCCUGAUCUAAAAAUCAAUAAUUGCAGGCAGAUCGGAAAAGUAAGGACGCACACACCACCACUUACACAAAUUGGAUUUUGUUGUUGUCGACGUGAGAUAUCCCUCGAAAAUUCAAACAAUCUGUUUACUCGCCCUCUGUUAGAGACCACUUGAAUUGUUAAAACCAAUAUCUAGCCUCCUUUCCCCAACAAAAAUAUUGCUAUCUGAUUAUCUACAUUUGCUGUAAUUGAACUUCACAGAUGACGGUCUUCCUUUUAUCAUUAUACAAUGCUACACUUCCAUAAGUACUUAACCUUAUUCUCAUUCAGGUAUGAAUAGACCAACAUUUUUUACUCCAUCUUUGUAAGCUACGGAAAAUUAGACCUGACAAUAAUCUGGUAAAGGAUUAAUGACAAAUGGUUCUGCCACCGCAAGAUAACACCUGAUCUGUGGAUUACAUCUAUCCUGAUUAGUUUUUAUUUUCAUGCUUCAGUUAAUAGACCUGAUGGUCGUAUUUUACUGCUUCAAGAUUGUUUUAGAUGAAGUGCUGCUGAGUGUAGAGAUGGCAGAGAACUCCGAAAAAAAGAAGAUAUUUUAUACACUGUUUUCAAAUAUUGUCUGGAUAGAAUGUACUUCAACACCUGAUUCUGGGAAGCAGAACAGUAUCUGCCAGUGAUGUUUCCUUGAAACAUUGUCAAAUGAACUUGAUCUAUCCAGAGCUAUGUUUACAGGUUGGUCUGCUGAAUUUUGUUGAGCUUUGUGUACACAAAUUGGGUGUUUAUAUUCAAAUAAUGUGAAGUACGUUUGGUGGUUUCGGGUCUAGGGAAAGGUACGAAAGGUUGUAUGGCUCCUUCCAAUCAGGUAGUCGGGUCUUGGUAGGCUGGUGUCAAGGUUCAGUUCACCAUCGGCCACUUGAAUUGUUAGAACCAAUAUGUAGCCUCCUUUCCCCAAAAAAAUAUAGUGUUAUCUGAUUAUCUCCAUUUGCUGUAAUUGAACUUCACAGAUGACAGUCUUCUUUUUACCAUUAUAAUGCUACACUUCCAUAAGUACGUACCCUUAUUCUCAUUCAGGUAUGAAUAGAUCAACAUUCUGUGAAGUAUGUUCGGUGGUUUCAGGUCUGGGGAGAAGUAGGAAAGGUUGUAUGGCUCCUUCCACUCAGGUGGUUACAGACAAGCCGAGUUUCGGGUGCUCUGUGGUGUUGAGUACUCCGAGGUGGCUGCCCCAUUAUGGAUAAUUAGAGAAUGCUUGCAAAUAUUUUUGUUGACUCUCACCGCAAGAGAAGGAUAUGUUGGCCUACUUCUGGAUCAAGGACAACUAAGGUUGCGCAGAAAAUAGGGGCUGCUUAUUUGAACUCCAUCGAGGGAGCAAAACUAUGCUCAGCGGAUUAACCUGUCAUAUCUACAGAUGUCAGCUGCAAGUGUUUGAUGCUUAAGUUGGCUACAGCAGUUGACGCAGGUCAUGGAUAGAGCGAACUUACUUCAGAUGGAGAUGUUGCCAUGCUACUGCCAGCCGGUUCUACUUUGUGGCAGUGUUUUAUUUUGUGUUGUCUAUGUUAUUAAUUGCGAAAGACUAUUUCUAUUACCUAGGUUUGGUUCUACA